AUUUGAAAUCAGUCAUAACAAAAUACCAUUCGAGAACUUUAAUUUGAAGAUUAUAGUUCCACAUUAUUGAGAUUUGAACCAGAUGAUGACGUUUGUCAAGAAUCGCGUAAUUUGGCUGAUUUAUUGCAGCUUUGCUUUGCAAUACCGUAAUCUCCUGCUCCUCCAGCUUUUUUUCUUUGAACGUCUUUAUUGAAUUGUUGCCGUACAGACGCAGCAGGGAGCCCCAUGUCUUAAUAUGUGGAUGUAAAAUCUGAAAAAUGAAAUUGGCAGUUUAAAGAAAAAUAUUAUGAAACAUACAAGAAAAUAUAAUACUAAAAAUUCUGAAGAAUUUCAAUAUAAACAUAAUACAUGUGGAUAAAACGCACCUGUAAAAUCGCUUGGGAAGCCAGCUGUUUACCCUCACGCUUAUUCUUGCAUAACACUUUGGCUGUGUGUUUGCCCACAGUCAUAGUAAAUUCAUUUUUCUUAUUUUUUGUGCGAUUAAUUUCGUAAUUUAUCUGCACAUCGCCAAGACCGAAGUUCCGCUGGAGACAAGUCAACAGUAUAGCAUGCGGCGAAGGUUCUGUUGUCUUAUUACAAAAUUCAGCUACACGUGGAUCUUGUAUUUUAAUAUCGUCAAAAACCUAAUUUGUUGAAUAUAUAUAAGAAUAUUAUUUACAAUAUUUACAAAUAUUUCACCGAUUUGCUAUGUAUAAUUGACUCACCGAUAA